GACGUAGGGCGCGAGCGUUGUCCGGAUUUAUUGGGCGUAAAGAGCUCGUAGGCGGCUUGUCGCGUCGACUGUGAAAACCCGCGGCUCAACUGCGGGCCUGCAGCCGAUACGGGCAGGCUAGAGUUCGGUAGGGGAGACUGGAAUUCCUGGUGUAGCGGUGGAAUGCGCAGAUAUCAGGAGGAACACCGAUGGCGAAGGCAGGUCUCUGGGCCACUACUGACGCUGAGAAGCGAAAGCAUGGGGAGCGAACAGG
rnacentral:rRNA from 1 species